GCGUGGCUGGCGCGGCGCGGCAUCGUCGGUCGGUGUCGGAGUCGGAGUCGGAGGAGCCGGAGUCUGAGGAACCGGAUCCGAGGCUGAGGAGGAGGAGAAGAGGAGAAGGAAGAGGAGGAGAAGAAGGAGGAGAAGGAUUAGGAGGAAGGCCAAGGAACCGGAGGAGGCCAAGAACCGUCGCUCAGCCGCGUCCGCGGCGCCGCGAGGAUGGAGGCCCCCGGCCCGCGCCCCGCGCCGGCCCUCGGCGGCCCCGGCCCGCUGGGCGAGUUCCUGCCGCCGCCCGAGUGCCCGGUCUUCGAGCCCAGCUGGGAGGAGUUCGCCGACCCUUUCGCCUUCAUCCACAAGAUUCGGCCCAUAGCCGAGCAGACAGGAAUCUGCAAGGUGCGGCCGCCGCCGGAUUGGCAGCCACCAUUUGCAUGUGAUGUUGACAAACUUCAUUUUACCCCACGUAUCCAGAGGCUGAAUGAAUUGGAGGCUCAAACUCGUGUAAAAUUAAAUUUCUUGGACCAGAUUGCAAAGUACUGGGAAUUACAGGGAAGUACUCUGAAAAUUCCACAUGUGGAGAGGAAGAUCUUGGACUUGUUUCAGCUUAAUAAGUUAGUUGCAGAGGAAGGUGGAUUUGCAGUUGUUUGCAAGGAUAGAAAAUGGACCAAAAUUGCCACCAAGAUGGGGUUUGCUCCUGGCAAAGCUGUAGGCUCCCAUAUCAGAGGGCAUUAUGAGCGAAUUCUCAACCCCUACAAUUUAUUCCUGUCUGGAGACAGUUUGAGGUGUCUGCAGAAGCCAAACCUGACCACAGACACAAAGGACAAGGAGUACAAACCCCAUGAUAUUCCCCAGAGGCAGUCUGUGCAGCCCUUGGAAACGUGUCCCCCAGCUCGACGAGCAAAACGCAUGAGAGCGGAGGCCAUGAAUAUUAAAAUAGAACCAGAAGAGACAGCAGAAGCCAGAACUCAUAACCUGAGACGUCGAAUGGGAUGUCCAGCUCCAAAGUGUGAAAAUGAGAAAGACGGGAAAAGCAGCCUCAAGCAAGAACCUGCUGAGAGGAAGGAGUGUAUUACAGAGAGCGAGAAGGAGAAACCCAGGAGUCGAGCGAAAAAAACCACCAGUGCUGUUGACCUGUAUGUCUGCCUCUUGUGUGGCAGUGGCAACGAUGAGGACCGGCUUCUCUUGUGUGAUGGGUGUGAUGACAGUUACCACACCUUCUGCCUGAUCCCGCCGCUCCAUGAUGUUCCCAAGGGAGACUGGAGGUGUCCUAAGUGUUUGGCUCAGGAGUGCAGUAAGCCACAAGAAGCAUUUGGCUUUGAACAGGCAGCCAGGGACUAUACCCUCCGUACUUUCGGGGAAAUGGCAGAUGCGUUCAAAUCUGAUUACUUCAACAUGCCAGUCCAUAUGGUUCCCACAGAAUUGGUUGAGAAAGAAUUUUGGCGACUGGUGAGCACUAUUGAAGAGGAUGUUACCGUGGAAUAUGGAGCUGAUAUCGCCUCGAAGGAGUUCGGCAGUGGCUUCCCGGUUAGAGACGGGAAAGUGAAGCUCUCGCCUGAGGAGGAGGAAUAUCUUGACAGUGGCUGGAAUUUGAACAACAUGCCAGUGAUGGAGCAGUCUGUCCUCGCUCACAUCACCGCUGACAUAUGCGGCAUGAAGCUUCCUUGGUUGUACGUGGGAAUGUGCUUUUCUUCCUUCUGUUGGCAUAUUGAAGACCACUGGAGCUAUUCCAUUAACUACCUGCACUGGGGUGAGCCAAAGACCUGGUAUGGAGUCCCAGGGUACGCUGCUGAGCAGCUGGAGACGGUGAUGAAAAGGCUGGCCCCGGAGCUCUUCAUCUCCCAGCCCGACCUCCUCCACCAGCUCGUCACCAUCAUGAACCCCAAUACCCUGAUGACUCACGAAGUGCCUGUUUACCGAACUAAUCAGUGUGCUGGGGAGUUUGUGAUCACAUUUCCAAGAGCCUACCACAGCGGUUUCAAUCAAGGUUUUAAUUUCGCUGAGGCCGUUAACUUCUGCACUGUCGAUUGGCUGCCCUUAGGCCGACAGUGCGUAGAGCAUUACCGCCUGCUGCACCGCUACUGUGUAUUUUCCCACGACGAGAUGAUUUGCAAGAUGGCCUCCAAGGCGGACGUACUAGACGUUGUAGUGGCAUCAACUGUUCAGAAAGACAUGGCCAUUAUGAUUGAGGACGAGAAGGCUCUAAGGGAAACUGUUCGUAAAUUGGGAGUAAUUGAUUCAGAAAGAAUGGAUUUUGAGCUGUUGCCAGAUGAUGAGCGUCAGUGUGUAAAAUGCAAAACCACAUGCUUCAUGUCUGCCAUCUCCUGUUCUUGUAAACCUGGCCUGCUUGUUUGCCUGCAUCAUGUAAAGGAAUUAUGUUCCUGUCCUUCUUAUAAAUAUAAACUGCGGUAUAGAUACACUCUGGAUGAUCUCUACCCCAUGAUGAAUGCACUGAAGCUUCGAGCAGAAUCUUACAACGAAUGGGCCUUGAAUGUGAACGAAGCUUUGGAGGCGAAGAUUAAUAAGAAGAAAAGCCUCGUCAGCUUUAAGGCUUUGAUUGAGGAAUCUGAGAUGAAGAAAUUCCCGGACAACGAUCUUUUACGUCACCUCCGCUUAGUGACACAGGACGCGGAGAAAUGUGCCUCUGUCGCCCAGCAGCUGCUUAACGGCAAGAGGCAGACGAGGUAUCGAUCUGGUGGAGGGAAAUCCCACAAUCAGUUGACAGUGAAUGAGCUCCGACAGUUCGUGAGCCAGCUGCACGCCCUGCCCUGUGUCCUCAGUCAGACGCCACUGCUGAAGGAUCUCUUGAAUCGUGUAGAAGAUUUCCAACAGCAUAGCCAGAAAUUGCUCUCUGAAGAGAUGCCCAGUGCCGCUGAGCUGCAAGACUUGCUAGACGUCAGCUUUGAAUUUGAUGUUGAGCUUCCCCAGCUUGCUGAGAUGCGUGUCCGGCUGGAGCAGGCCCAUUGGCUGGAGGAGGUGCAGCAGGCUUGCCUAGACCCCAGCUCCCUCACCUUAGAUGAUAUGAGACGUCUCAUAGACCUGGGGGUGGGUCUGGCCCCAUAUUCAGCUGUGGAGAAGGCUAUGGCACGGCUUCAAGAACUGCUCACGGUAUCAGAGCACUGGGAUGACAAAGCCAGGAGUCUCCUCAAGGCCAGGCCUCGGCAUUCAUUGAACAGCCUUGCUACGGUGGUUAAGGAGAUCGAGGAGAUCCCCGCGUACCUGCCCAAUGGUGCGGCUCUGAAAGACUCUGUGCAGAGAGCCAGAGACUGGCUUCAGGACGUAGAGGCCCUGCAGGCUGGAGGACGUGUGCCAGUGUUAGACACACUGAUAGAACUUGUUACACGAGGACGAUCUAUCCCGGUGCAUCUGAAUUCUUUACCGAGACUGGAGUCACUAGUAGCUGAGGUUCACGUUUGGAAAGAAUGUGCUGCUAAUACAUUCCUGACUGAGAAUUCGUCCUAUUCUCUCUUGGAGGUGCUGUGUCCUCGAUGUGAUAUUGGCCUUUUGGGAUUGAAGAGGAAGCAGAGAAAGUUAAAGGAGCCCUUGCCAAGUGGCAAGAAGAGAAGCCCCAGAGUAGAGAGUCUGAGUGACCUGGAGAGAGCUCUGACUGAAAGCAGAGAGACUGCUUCAGCUAUGGCAACGCUUGGGGAAGCCCGCUUACGAGAAAUGGAAGCCUUGCAGUCUCUCAGACAAGCCAAUGAGGGGAAAUUGCUGUCGCCAGUCCAGGAUGUGGAGAUGAAGGUCUGCCUGUGUCAGAAGGCCCCAGCUGCCCCCAUGAUCCAGUGUGAACUCUGCAGGGAUGCUUUCCACACCGGCUGUGUGGCAGUACCCAGUACUGCGCAGGGCCCCCGGAUCUGGCUGUGUCCCCAUUGUCGGAGGUCAGAGAAACCUCCAUUAGAGAAAAUUCUGCCCCUGCUGGCCUCCCUCCAGCGCAUCCGAGUUCGCCUUCCCGAGGGAGAUGCGCUGCGGUAUAUGAUUGAAAGAACCGUGAACUGGCAGCACAGAGCCCGACAGCUGCUCUCGUCAGGUAACCUCCAGCCCACGCAGGAGCGGACGGGCUCAGGACUGUUAUGUGGCAGACGGCAGGCCGCAGCAGGACAGGCGCCAGAGACAAGCAAGCUAUCUCAGCCUCCUGCCUCCACGUCCUUCUCCUUGCCCGGUGCCUGGGACGGCAGAACCUCAUAUUUACACUCUCCCUUCUCUGCUGGACGGAGCUGUAUCCCCCUCCAUGGUCUAAGCCCAGAAGUGAGUGAGCUGUUGAUGGAGGCCCAGCUGCUCCAGGUGUCCCUUCCUGAAAUUCAGGAGCUCUACCAGAUGCUACUCGCAAAGCCCAGCCCCGCGCGGCAAGCUGACCGCAGCUCUCCAGUGAGACCCAGCAGUGAGAAGAGUGACGGCUGCCGUGGGAAGCGAGACGGAGUCAGCGGCCUCGAGAGCAAACUGAAGAGACGCCUGGAAAGAGAAGGUCUCUCCAGUGAGCGGUGGGAUCGAGUCGCCAAAACGCGGACCCCUAAAAAGAAGAGGAUCAAACUGAGCCACCGCAAGGACACGAACAGUUUCAAGUUAGAGCGGGCACGUGGCCAUGAGCUGGUCCCUUCUGCCGACGCUCAGUCCCUGCCCGCAGACGCGUCCUGCUCGGAGCACGAGGACUCUGGGGACGAGGACGCCGUCUGCCCGGCCGUGAGCUGCCUGCAGCCGGAGGGAGACGAGGCUGUAGGAUUUCUCACCGAGCGCAAAGGGCUUGCCUGUGUGUCGCCUCUGUCCUGCAGGAAGCCUGGGAUUUGGACGCGCUGUAAAAGGAAGGUCUGCUGCUUUACCGCUUCGUUUCAGCAUCCUGGGAGGAGGGGCUUGUUUACCCCUCUCAGAGCGACUCUGAAGCCAGAGAUGCCACCUGAGGUUGUGGCAGUUGGUAGAAACCUGCUUUGUUCUGCCUGCACGCUCUAGUAACGAGAGGCAGAGGUGUUCAUGAGACUUGAGGUCUUCGGUGGAAGCAUGGGUCCCUGGGCAGGGGUAAGCCUGCGGACAGGAUGGGUGUCUCCUGGAGGGCUGAAGCCCGGCCCCCCUGUCCCUCUGGUUGGGCUCUCAUCGUGGGCCCCGCCGCUCCUUUAAUCUCACCGCCCUCUCAAAUGGAGACCCGCUUUCGGCUUGCACCAGGCCUUCGUGCCUGUGGGUGUUUUUCUGGGCUCAGCCCCACCUGGGGUUCCUGACACGUGACACAGACUGGGGUGGACUGUCGAUGCCACGUACCUGGGACAGGAGGCGGAAUGGCACAGCAGGGAUUUUAACCGUCGUUGCCUGUUGUUGUUCAGUACCUGUGCCUAGUCUGUGCUGCGCCUUGGCCUCUGUUAGAAUGGUCCUUCCUCGGCGUAAAGAUGCAGAGAACACAGUUCCUUUCUGCUGAACUUCACCUGCUGGGAGGAAGAGCCGAGGAAAAGGAUGAAGAGCCCGGUGCCUUUCCUUGAGCACCGGGGCGAUGGCUCCCAUCUUCCACCCUCUCCAGCCCAGCACAUGGAUCCUUUGAGGCCCUCAACUUCUCUGGGCGGUUCCGUGGGACAGAGAAGCUGCCUGGACCUCGUAUGAAGUCGUACCAUUAUAAAUCCACUUCCAAAGCAUGAGUCCAUCUGUAAAGUGUACCUUUCACUUCUUCCAAAUUUUUGUAAACAUUUUCGUGUUUCAAGAUUGCUUACAUAGGAAUACAUCUUCACCUUUUUAUCAGUUAGGAUGGAACCUUUAGAUGGUGACCCAGCUCCCUCUUCUGUUCUGGGCUACUUGUACUAGGAUGAAGGGUGGCGAGCGAUGUGCUCUUAACUUUCAGGAGGACCCGCUGCGUUGGAUGGAAGAAUGGGAUUGCGAGGUCGUUGGAGCUGCUGCAGAUAUCAAGGACAGCGGUGUGUCUGUGAUGGUGCUUGCCUUACUGUGCCUCUGCGUGUUCCCCGUGAGGCCAGGGUCUGUUGGGCACGGGCCUCCCAACCUUGUUGUGCUCGAGACAUUGACUAGCUGAGGUCGUAGUGGUCGUGGGUGCCCAGCCCGUUUCCUGCUCUCUUCAUUCCCACCCCCACCCCCCGCCCUCCAAGAAACUUCUCAAGGAGGGAGAGUGAGCAAGUUAGAGGGCACUUGUUGCUGCAUGAAGGGCAAGCAGUUCCCAGAAAGCAGAGCAGACGGAGGCGGGAAUGAGGCAGCGUGCCUGGGAACGGGGCUCUCGGCUCAGCGAGACCCUACCGCCGCCCAAGGCUCUGCCCCUGGAGCCCUGCUCGUGGGUGCGGGCGGAGGUUUCCCUGGUCGGAUCGGCCAGGAGAGGAGCAGAGUGGGCUCAGGCAGUCUCUGGCCGCCUUAGACGUUACCAAGGCUCCAGCCCUGCCUCGCAUGCCCCCUUCCCCAACUUCAGUCUUCGGGAAAUGGGGAGGGAGGGAUUGGGGACCGAGGCCCUCGGUGCAGGGAUCACAGUUUACAGGAUGACCACAGGGAAAGGCUGGGCCGGCAGAGGACUGAGCUGUGCUGACUGGGAGCCUCCCAGCUGGUUCCGGACUCCAGAGCCCCGAGCAAGCAUCGUGGGGGUGUGGCCUGAGCAGGACUGCGGGGGCACUCAUGAGCCGGACCCCAAGCCUGUGUCCUAGAAAUAACGCAGCCAGGCCUUCCCACUGUGCCGAGACCGCUGCACGGCACAGCGCUUUACGGCGGCCGGGUGCCGUUCUUAAGGCUUUACCCCCGCUCCGGAGCUGACAUUCCCCCUUGGGUGUGCGGCCAUGGCCGGAAUUUUGAUGGCAAAUUGUGCCCUUAAUCCUGAGCUUCAGAAUUGGAAAUAGGGAGCAGGUGGGUAUCAGUCGAGGGAGGGACGUCCAGGUUCCUGAGGAGAUUGUGCCUCCGGCCCGGCUUUCCUGUCCUAGCCUGAGCUCAUGGCAAUCACAGUUCUGGUCGACGACCGCAGUCUCUGAAUGCGCCGACACAGUCGGGUGGCCCUCAGGACAAUCCUGCAGGAGCGUCUCGCGAGCGGCAGAGGGCAGCAGAGGGCCGGCUCCGGGCCGCUUUCCUAACAGGUCCCUGAGCCGGGCCGCUGCGGCCCCUGCUGGAGCCCUGCCUGGGCCUCUCCGUCCUGCCUCUACGCCAGCGGCUGCAACGUGGAGCAUCUUAGAGGUUCUGCUCCGUUUAGGGGAGACUGAGUCGUGGACUUCAGAUGGGCAGUCAGGCCUUCUACCCAAGCUGCUGCUGGUCCCAGUUCUGUGCCCCGCGCGAAUCUUGUAGAUUCGGGGCCCACAGAACGUGGUUGCCGUCCCCGAGCACCUCAAGUCCAGUGGGGGAGGGGCCUGUGUAAACAGAUCUUCGGGAUUUCUUGCUCUCAUGGGCGUCACAACUGUGACGGGGUCGGAGAAGAGCUGCCCUUGGGUUAUCUCACUACAAACUGGCCGUGUGGCCAUGCUGAGGAUGAAGGCCUGGCCCACUUGACUCCCUUCCCCGCCCCCCCCACCCCCGACCCAAUUGCCACCCAGUUCCCACCUAAGGGAAUCAGAGAUGCUGACUGCACGUUGUUCUGGGGAAGGGGCAGGCCUUGCCUCCGAGUGGGACCCUUGGGUACAAACUCUGCUCAUGUGAGUAGAGAAAACACCUUCAAGGACGCCCGGUGUGGCCAGAACAAGAUGUAUGUGUGGGGCGAGCAACGACGAGAAAUAAUAAAAGCCGACACUUCAUACAUGCUGGGCACUCUCUGAAAGCCUUGCAUGAAGUGACUCAAUCUCCGCAGCCUCCCAAUGAGGUCAGUACUCGUACCCAUUUCACAGAUGGGCAACUGGAUUUCAGAGAGGUUAAGACUGAAGGCCAUCUAGCUGGUAUAGAGGAGCCAGCAUUCAAACCCAGACAGUCUGAUUCAAGAGUCUGGACCCGUACAAACAAGAUGGAAGGCCUCUGUGUAUCCUUGAGCCUAGCGUUUGGGAUGUGUGGCUCCCCAGAGCAAUAAAGAAUUCCUAAAAACUCCACAGCAAAGUUUCUGAUGCCCUUAAAGGCUGUGGGUUUUCUUCCACCACCAGUAGGGUGCAGCUCACAGAAGCCUUACUUUUAGAGAACUGAGUGACCUUUUGUUUUUCGCCUUAAACUUGUUUGGCUAAUUCAAGUUGGAAAUGCAUUUCAGCUGCCUCGUUAAGGUCUGGGUAUCGGCUGCUUCAGGAUGCAGGCCUGGGUUCUGGCACCCUGCCCUUAGGGGCUCCUGGGGUGGGCAGAGGCACAUCACUUGGGAUGGAGGCCAGGCAUAGCCGUUGAGAUCCUGGCAACGAGAGCAAGUCAGCGCCAGGGAACAAGGCCUUUAGCGAUGGGAGGGCCGUGGCUUCCAGGUGACUGGCCUGACUGGCCCGGCCUGAAGCAAGGGCUCUGUGGUAGCAGAGCCUCAUCUGGGCAGAAGUCCACAGUCAACACCCGCAGCCCAGAUAAAGGACCCAUCAGGCCGUGCCGCUUGUGAGCUUACACACGCACGCACACAUCCACACACACGAGAAUGACAUAAGAGUGACGUACUCCCUGGCUCCGAUGGAGCCCCUUCUGGGCCGGGUGUUUGGACCCCCUCCAUUGAUCCUCCCCUCAUUCGCAUGAAGUGAACUCACCUGCUAAGGACCCAGGCCUGUGGGAGGCAAGCUGAGAUUUGAACCCAGGCGGCUGGGCUUCAGAACCCAAACUGGCCGGCAACACACAUGCGGCCCCCUUUGAUAAGCCAGCAGGGGAGGGGACCAGCCUGGGCCUCCAACCACCUGACAUGAGUGGCUUUUCUAAACCACAAACUUGACCAGGUUCCUCCUGUGUGUAGACGCCUUCAGUGGUCUCCGUUCUCUUCUGAAGAAAAUCCUAACAGCCUGGUGUAGAGCCCAACCACCGUGGUCUUGCCCUCGCGUCUGACCUUGCACAACCCCCCAGUCCCAGCACACGUGGCCCCCGGUGGGGCUAUUUUCCUGUCCCUAAAGCAUCAGAACAGUAGUUGCCUGUUGUCAAGGUCCUGCUCAGGGUUUCUGAAGUCUUUUCUCAGUGGUGACAGCAGUGCCUCGGUAGGUGCUGGAGUCUCCAUCUGACAGACUCGGGGGCUGAGCUUCAGAGAGUUAGGAGACGCGCCCCUGGCCAUGCGGCUUCCUGUCCGACCCCCCAGUUUAACUGUCCACCUGACCCACUGCUGCCAUCUGGCCUGGAGGCACUGGAAAGUCACUUGGUCAGUCACUGCGGGACCCUUGCCGUCCCCCUGGGGGUCUCUCUCGGGUUCCAGUUGGUGCACGUGGCUUCCACCGUCUUCUCUAAGGAGGCCAUGAGCCCUGGGCGGCGUGCAAGUGUUGGCCUCCGUGCCGCCAGCCCCUGGCGGGUGCCUGAUAGACAACAUCCUCAGUGAUGGGAGAGCUCUGACUGGACAAGAUGAGGCACGCGAAUGAGGCUGAAGUCGAGGUUUUGCUCCAGAUUUGCACCCGAGGCCCGGAGAAGGGUGGCUGGUGGCCCUGGGACACCCAAGCCGGCCCUGUGUCCAUCGAGGCCUCUCCCCCUGCUGUCCUCUCCUCUAGCUUCCGGUGCUCACCUCGCCGGGCCCCACCAGGCCGCUCUGAGACACGACCUCAACACAGAGAGAGUUCAUGGACGCGGGCAUGGUAAAGGGCCCGGGUGAGUUAUUCAGAAAAUGUCUCAACUGAUUUGCUUUUCACCCCCUCGAUGGUCAGUGUCCUGAGAGCCAUGGUUGCCCUUGGGAAAGAGGAGUCGUCCUGCCCGCUGUGGUUUCCAGCUCGGAGCACGUGCCCUGCACACGCCGGGGGGCAUGCCCCUCUGUGCAGAGCCCCUCCUGCAUUUCUGGAUUCACUGGAAGAGGGCCGGGGGGUCUGGGGAAGGGGCAGCCUAGUCCAGGAGAAACCUCUCCUCUCCUGGGGGAGUGAGAACCCGGGCUCAGAGGAUUUACCUGGGACACAGGACUGACUGGAGCUUCACCGAGGAAGGAGGAAAUACAGUGAUAAAAUCCGGUGUUUAAAAUUAUUACUCCCUUUGACUCUGAGAAAGAAGAGAAAUCACGUUCACUUUCAGCCAAGUUAGGGGAUGGAAGAAUGUGAAAAGAGGAAGGCCCCAUGAUGUUCACUAGGUCCUUCGAUCUGAUGAGAAUCUGAGAUCGUUAUCUUUGUGACUUAGUUUCUUCUCUAUGCCAGGUAUGGUCCUGAAAACCGUAAGAUGCCCCCUCUCUGGCAGUGUGAAAUUAGAGAUGAGAAGGCCUCCUCCACCCUCCCCAUUCUGUAGUAUUUAAAAGUUUCAUUGGACUCACUUUUAAAAAUUGUUUUUAUUUUGUUCAUUGCAUGGGGAAUAAACAAUUAUAGUUCACUUAAUCAGCUUCCUGGAGGAGUUGGCCUUCACCGGCUUUUUUGGGUUUUGGGGGUUUUUUAAAUUAAAAUGUAAGAUAUUAUGUGAAUUGUAUGAUAUUUAACUUUAUCCAUGUUUCAUUUUUUGGCCCCAUCUAAUGAGUUAAUGUCUUCUGUAUUAA